rnacentral:tRNA from 1 species
UCUAGUAUGGCAGAUUAGUGCAAUAAAUUUAAGAUUUAUAUAUAAAUAUAUAUAUUUUUCUAGAA